GUUACCCCCUGUGCUAGUGGAAGAUGUGACUUUGAAGACAGUCAUUGUAAAAGGUGCAAAAGGCUUGUCUAAGAUAAGCUGGCAGUCUACACCGCAUGGCCUGCGUUGCUGACAUUAAGUGAAGUUAAUGCAGAGUUCCUGUGCCUGACAGAUACUUGAGGAAGCAUCUUGGAGGUUGUCAAGGAGAAGGGAGGCGUUGCCAGAAGGAAGGACUGGAGUGGCGAAGUGAUCCAAAGGCAGACUGCACAUCUACGUAUAUGGUUUGCAAGGAACAUCCCGUGCCAGAGACUGUGAUACAAGGCAUGGAGCUGUACAGUGAACUCGGAGCAUCUCUUGUGCAUGUGUGAUGCUGUUUGGACUCGGUUACCGGUAUAUACCCUCAAUCUCAACUCUGUGGAUUUGGAUUUACAAUUUUAAGUAUCCAGAUGAACUGAAAUAUAUGUUCUGGUGAAUUUGGAAAAUAUGCCCAAAAGGUCCAAUCACUAUAAACUACAGUAAAUAUGUUGGACACUGGCAAUCUCAGGUUCUAAGCCAUUGUAUAAAAGGACAAUCCAUCGCAUUUCUAUUAAUACUUUUGUGUGCUGUUCUCUGAUCUGAGUUGAUGAUUUUUUUGUCCUUUUUUGUCUUUUGUCAGCAUGGCAUUGAGUAUCAUUGAGGGGCUUUUUUUCUAAACAUUGGCUAUGCAGAUUAAAAGAUGAGCACUAUAAGGAAAGGCGUAAUAACGUCUCAGUAGCACUUCAUGGACACAUUGAUAUCAUAAUUAAAAACAUUUCUCUCUCCCUCUCCUCCCCCACUUUGAGAAAGAAUCAAAGAGUCAAAAGUGCUCCUGCGGGCAGUUGGUUAAUUCUAAAAUGUCCAUUCACAAAUAACAUCUUUUUCAUGAAUGUCUAAGUAAAUAAGUGAGUAAAUAGACACAUACUGUUCUGAUGAGAGUAUGCUUUUCGGCCAAAGAUAUCUGACUGCAUAUCUGACCCAAGGGAUUAUGACAUUACUUAGAAUUUGAUGGUGGUUGUAAGCAUUCAUGAAAAAGAUGACAUUUCUGAACAGGCCACAUUAAUUAAUGUGUUACAGUACACUGAUAAUUUCAGGUUUUCUGUUUAAUUUCUGUUUAAUCAUACGAUUAUAUUGUCAAGAUUUUGGUGUUUUAUUAUCGUUUGACUGCAUGUUUGUCCAGCUGAUGAAAUAUUAAUAAAAGAAAUGUUUUGAA